rnacentral:rRNA from 1 species
GAUGAACGCUGGCGGCGUGCCUAAUACAUGCAAGUCGAGCGAACGGACGAGAAGCUUGCUUCUCUGAUGUUAGCGGCGGACGGGUGAGUAACACGUGGAUAACCUACCUAUAAGGCUGGGAUAACUUCGGGAAACCGGAGCUAAUACCGGAUAAUAUUUUGAACCGCAUGGUUCAAAAGUGAAAGACGGUCUUGCUGUCACUUAUAGAUGGAUCCGCGCUGCAUUAGCUAGUUGGUAAGGUAACGGCUUACCAAGGCAACGAUGCAUAGCCGACCCGAGAGGGUGAUCGGCCACACUGGAACUGAGACACGGUCCAGACUCCUACGGGAGGCAGCAGUAGGGAAUCUUCCGCAAUGGGCGAAAGCCUGACGGAGCAACGCCGCGUGAGUGAUGAAGGUCUUCGGAUCGUAAAACUCUGUUAUUAGGGAAGAACAUAUGUGUAAGUAACUGUGCACAUCUUGACGGUACCUAAUCAGAAAGCCACGGCUAACUACGUG